UUUUCUCCUUAGAAAGGUUCCUUUACACAUGUACUCUUGGGAGGGGCUCAGCUUCAUGACUAGCACGGUGGACUUUCCUGAUAGGUUGCAUCCAGAGACUCUGGCGUGCACUAAUCUGGAGGAGGCAAAGGUGUUCGUCAAUGUUGAUGUCUCGAAGACUCUGCCAAAAGAAAUUGAAUUCUAAAAGGAGGGUAAGGAGUUCACAGUAGAGUUCCAUUAUCCUUGGCUUCCAGCAAGGUGCAAUUUGUGUGAGAAAUGGGGUCAUACUGAACGAGUUUGUGUGAAGCGUGGUAAAGCCAAAAAUAAGAGUGAUGAUCUGAUUAAAAGUGGUGAGAAAUCAAAGGAAGGAAAGAAAGAGCAGGCGAAGGGUUUGGAGGUUUCAAAUGAAGAAUCCAAAGAAGAGGGUAUGAAAGAAAAUCAAGAAGAGAGUAAUGGUAAUCAGGAGAAGAGUCUAGUAUCAAAUUGGAAGUUGGUCUCACCAGAGAAAGUAGGGAGAUCACCUUUGGGAAAUGUCACUGAAGUUCUGAUCUCUGCAUCAAAAUUUGCGGUGUUAAAUAUGGAUGAUGUAGAAGAAGUUGAGGAAGGAGAAAUAGAGGAUGAUAAGCUAGAGAGUUAUUUGGAGGACAAUUUGGAGGAUAUGGAUAAACUAAGAGAGAUAUAAGGCGAUCUUUUGGAAGAUGAUAUACUGGAGCAACAGAGUAGAGGCAAGGACAAAGCAGUAACAAAAAAAUGGUUGAUAAGGGGGCCAAAGGCGAAAGCUCAGGAUGCAAAUCCGGCUAAGAGCACAAGGCUUUCUCGGAAAAAAACUGAUAUGUCGUGCUUCUUUUGGAAUGUGAGAGGAUUCAACAAAUCUUUAAAGCAUUCAGAAGUCAAGGAGUGGAUAGGAAAUAAAGAAAUGAAGUUUGGUUGUGUUUUGGAAACAAGGGUGAAAGAGAAAAAUGUUGAAAGGAUAAUAAGGGAAAGUUUAAAGGAGUGGUCGGUGAUGACGAAUUAUGAUUAUAAUCCUGGAGGAAGAAUCUGGGUUUUUUGGAGGGAGUCUGUUUGUGUUACCCCAGUGUACAAGUCUGAUCAACUGAUCACUUGUUCAGUGAGGUUAGAAGAUGAGGAGGAGUUUCUCUGUACGUUUGUUUAUGCAAAAAAUCAGAGUGAGGAGAGGAAGGCGUUAUGGGAUGAUCUCUGUCAUCACCAUGACUCAGCUAUGUUCAAGAAUAAAGAGUGGAUUACUAUGGGAGAUUUUAUCGACAUAUUGGAUGGGGAAGAAAAUUCAAGGUUCUCGAGUUUGGGAAGAGUUCCUGGUGGGAUGAGAGAUUUUCAGAGGGCGGUGCUUCACUGUCAUCUGUCUGAUUUGGGUUACCAAGGACCUCUGUUUACUUGGAGUAACAAACAGGAUAAAGGAAUUAUUUGCAAGAAGCUUGAUAGGGUAUUGAUGAAUGAUGCAGCUCUUAAACGGUUCUCAAACGCUUAUUCUGUAUUUGAGGCAGGGGGAUGUUCAGACCAUAUGCGUUGUCGAAUUCAUCUGAAGCCAUCCCAGGAGAAAAUUCGAAGACCCUUUAAGUUUGUAAAUGCUAUUGGUACACUGCCAGGGUUUCUCCCUAUGUUCCAUGAUUUUUGGGAUAGUACAGAGGUUCUCUUUCACUCUACUUCAGCUCUAUAUAGAUUUUCAAAGAAGCUCAAUAACCUGAAACCGCUGAUAAGGGGUUUGGGAAGAGAAGGUAUUGGCAAUCUAACUAAGAGAACUAAAGAGGCUCAUGAGUUGUUAUGUGAAAAGCAGAAGCAAACUCUUAUACAUCCUAAUGAGAUAGCAGCUCAGGAGGAAGCGGAAGCAUACGAGAAGUGGCUGCACGUAGCUAUGCUUGAAGAAAACUUUCUCAAGCAACGCUCAAAAUUGCACUGGUUAGGUGUUGGUGAUCAGAACAACAAAACUUUCUACAAUGCCAUCAGAACACGACAGGCUCAUAAUAUGAUUUGAGAGGUGAGAAAAGGAGAUGGUACUACUGUCACUGAUCAGCAGGAGAUCAAACAGGAGGCAGAAAGGUUUUUCUCGAAUCUUUUGAAUAUUAGUCCAGAAGAGUAUAAAGGGACCACAGUGGAGGAGCUGAGUGAUCUUAUGGGGUUCAGAUGCAGUUUGGAUGAUUGUAGAGAUCUAGAGGCUGAAGUACCAGAGGAGGAAAUUCGAAAAGUUCUCUUUUCUAUGAAAAGCAACAAGUCUCCAGGGCCGGAUGGGUUUCCAUGCGAGUUCUACAAGCUGAUUUGGCCAGUGCUUGGGCGUGAUUUUGUUGUGGCUAUUCAGUCGGUAUUUCAGUUUGGUUUUCUUCCUAAAGGUGUGAACUCUACAAUCUUGGCGCUAGUACCUAAGAAGACUGAUUCCAUGGAAAUGAAGGACUAUAGGCCCAUUGCUUGUUGCAAUGUCCUAUACAAGGUAGUGUCCAAGAUUUUAGCCAACAGACUGAAGAAGCUUUUUCCAAAUAUCAUCAGUGAUAAUCAGUCAGCUUUUAUUAAGGAGCGGUUGCUAAUGGAUAACGUUUUGCUAGCCUCUGAGAUGGUGAAGGAUUAUCACAGAGAGUCUGUUUCACCGCGGUGUGUUAUGAAGAUAGACAUCUCGAAGGCUUUUGACUCGGUUCAGUGGGAGUUUGUUCUGAAGGGUUUGGAAGUAAUGGGGUUUCCAGGAAGAUUUAUACAUUGGAUCAGACUAUGUAUUACGAGCCCGUCCUUCUCAGUCCAAGUUAAUGGAGAACUUGCGGGUUACUUUCAGAGCUCGAGAGGUCUCCGUCAGGGUUGUUCUCUUUCUCCGUAUCUAUUUGUUCUUUGUAUGGACAUCCUGUCAAGGAAAAUAGAUAAAGCCGCUGUAGCGAAACAGUUCAAACUUCACCCAGGUUGUAACUCUAUCUCCCUCACUCAUAUGUGCUUUGCAGAUGAUUUGAUGGUGUUUGUAGAGGGAUCAAAGGUAUCUAUAGAAGGAGCUCUUGCAGUGUUUGAUUAAUUUGCGGCUUGGUCGGGACUGAAGAUAAGUAUUGAGAAGUCUACAAUAUAUAUGGCAGGAGUAUCCGAGGAAGAGAAGAGCAGAAUAUUGUUGAACUUUCCUCUAGCGGAGGGUACUCUCCCUGUUAGGUAGCUGGAACUUCCUUUGAUGACCCAGGGGAUGAAGAAGCAAGACUAUCAGCCUCUAGUGGAGAAAAUAAGAUGCAUAAUCAACACCUGGACGAGCAGAUUCUUGUCUUAUGCCGGAAGAUUGCAGCUGAUCAAAGCGGUGUUAAUGAGCAUCGUUAACUUCUGGUCGGCUGCGUUUCGUCUGCCGAGUCAAUGUACUAAAGAAGUAGAGCAACUAUGCUCAGCUUUCCUCUGGUCUGGUCCUGUUCUUAGGACCACGGUGCUAAAGUUGCUUGGAGAGAUGUCUGCAGAGAAAAAGUUGAAGGUGGUCUUGGUAUAAGGGUACUGAAAGAAGUGAACUUAGUGUGUGGUUUGAAGCUCAUUUGGAGGUUGUUGGCGGGGAAAUCUUUAUAGAGUAAAUGGAUAAAGGCAAAUCUGUUGCGAGAGAGAAGCUUUUGGGAAGUGAAUAUUAAAACUCAAACUGGAUCUUGGAUGUGGAGGAAGAUGUUAAAACUCAGGGAGAUAGCAAAGAGGUUUUACAGGAAGGAAAUAGGUAAUGGGCGCCAUACUUCUUUCUGGUUUGAAAAAUGGAGUGAUCGAGGAGUUAUAUAUGAUCUGUUGGGGGCUAGGGGAUUCAUUGAUUUGGGUAUACGCAAAGAAGCUACGGUGGAAGAAGCGGUCUUUAGCUCAAGACGUAGAAGAAGACAUCGGGUGGAGAUUCUAAAUGAUAUUGAAGUGGAGCUGACUAAUAUGAGAACAACGCUUAGUGAGGAGUUAGAGGACGUGAGUUUGUGGAGAAGGGAGUCGGGUUAUCAUGCUUCCUUCUUUGCAGAGGACGUGAGUUUGCGGAGAAGAGAGUAAGAGGAGUGGAUGGUGCUUUGCAGUUUUGGUUUGGUACUAGAGUGUGAAUAUUGGGGUAGUUAUUUUUUUUUGGGGCUUAACAUAGAGUAAGAUGAGAAAAAGAUAGACUAAGAGAUGCAUACAUUGUAGAAAGGUUUUUUUUUAGGAAUAAAAUUUAACAUUCUUCAAAAAAAAAAAAAAAUUCUCCAUCUCCAUCUCUUUGGUCUGUUUUAUAAUCUUUUGUUGCAAGAGAUACAUUAAAGACUAUUAUUGUUUGAACCAGUUCUUGCCAUACUUCUACGUCAUAUACCUCACGAUUCUUCUCUUUGAUCGAGCCAAGAGAGACGAUGACCGACGCCGAUCAAAGUAUGGGAAAUAUUGGAAGUUUUACUGCGAAAAAGUGCGACACAUGAUUGUUCCUGGUAUUUAUUGAUGGUCUCUGUUGUCUUCUCUGUUUUUGUUUCGUUCAUUCAAACGUUAGAAUCGUCCAAAGACCCAAUAAUUAGAUCUUUUUUGCUGAUUUUGUAAGCCACUUGAGAAUUUCUAGCCAUGGGUUUCUCUAGAUUAUGCAUUUAAAUUUAGCCUAAUGUUUAUCAGUUUUAGAUUAUAUCUUGAUUGUACCCUUUUCAUUCUCAUAAAAUAAGUUCAUAAUUCAUAUAGGAAUUAGGAUUCCAUUACCAGUUCUUUUGUGUGUAGUAGCUAACUCUUUACCUAUUUAGUGUUGAAACUUGAAAGAGCUUUUUAAUCAACAUCCACGUAUUACUUCGUUUUUACUUUAAAAUAAAGUAAUUUUAAAACUAAAUUGAGUUUUAUUUUAAUAGUAGUGUUCCGUCCCCUGUACUACGUACGGGCACAAAAAUUCAUAUGUAUGUUUUAUGAAACUUGAACAUGUAUAAUUAGAUUUGGCGAAGAUCCAAUGAGCUAAGUAACCGAUGAGAUCCUCAACAAAAUUUCCUUUCUGAUAUACUGUGUUGUGAUCUGAUCCACUAAAAUGAUUUGGAUUCUCUAGUCUAUAUACUGUGUUGUCAGAAGAUUUCACUCUUUUUUUUAAACACUUAAACAAUCUCAUUUUUUGAUAAUAAAAAAACAAUCUCAUUUAAUAUCAAUCAAAUGUAGUAAUACAAUGAUCUGGGUAUCACAACUGAAUUAAAAAAAAAAAAAAAACGAUGAAACAAAACUGUAGUGAAAACAUAGCUAGAGAUAUACCAAUAGGCACCAUUCUCAUAAUAAUAAGAACGAGCACUUGUUCCUUGUACUCACCAGUAGGUGAUGUAAGAAUGCUCAAAAAGUAACAGAACAAUUGACCAUCUUCGGAGGAGAAACAAACCAAAAACUUUGGCUCAAAGGGAUCAAACUCCAUGGUAUCUUUACUUCAGACUGUAGUUUCCUCAUUCAAGAAACAUUAGCCAUGCCUAGCAUUGUAUAACUAAAUAUGCUGAGCGCGAGUAACACUAACACGUAAUCACCGUAGGACCGUGAUUUCGUGUCAGCUGGUCCAGAGACCAAGGAUUGAUUUUAUUGAAGCAUAUCCCAAGAACCUCCACUUGUUGUUGGAAUUCAGAUACACCAUAUAUGUAUGCUCGUGUCCAUCACAUGUGUAUGCUGAUGACAGUUUAAAACUAGCAAGAGAAGGCAGAACGGAACCGGAACAAACACCAUCCGACCACCCUACAAUCUUACGUCAUAAAAUAAGGAAUAGUACAACCCGGACAGAACAAAUUGAUGAAGACUAACCUCAUCUGCUUGAAACUGUCGGAAGGCUCAACAAAGAUAAGAACAUAUGUGGCUAAAAGCCCACAUAGAACCCAUGGAUCACUGAAGGUGAGAUAGGACGGAGACUAAGCCAAGAGAGAACCUCAACUAUCGGUACCUAAUCGACGCCAAUCCAAAGUAGUGUCAAGCCAUAUCCGUAAUAGACAUGACCAAUAUUGCUACGAUAUAAACUCCACAAAACUCUAUAGAACACACAUAACCUACAUCAAAACAAAGAAUAAGAAGACAUGGACCUUCUUCGGCGCUGUCGAAGAACUUCUUCGACAGACACCAGAGAGACGGAGAUCUACCGCAAAAAAAAACAGCCUUGGCGGAUGAGAGGAAGGAGAGAGGGAAUUAGGAUUUCUUUUGAUGUAGUCCGAACUUUUUUUCUUUUCUAAAAGUGAUGGUCCAAUUAGAGCCGGCUUAUUGGGUCGUAGUGGGCUUGGGAGGCACUGGCCCGUAAUCCUUCCACCGUCGAAAGCGGGAGGUGGAUGCUGCUUUGUGAAACCAGCCUCACGCAGUCUCCUCCACUCUAAGAGUGUCCGAACCACAAGCCUCUGCCGAGUCCGAACAUUCAACUCCCGACUUGGAACAGGCAGGCCAGUAGAUAUCCUUUCCGAGUCCGGCCCAAUGUCCCAUCACCUUAUUGUCCCCACUUGGAUUACAAGCCCGCAUUACCAAGCUCGACAGAAGAUUUCACUCUUGUAUCGACAUAGUUUUGACUAGGCGUGGGCAUUUUGGGUAUCAGUUCGGUUCGAUUCAGGUAUUUUGAGUAACAAGUAAUUUGGGUAGAGGGCUAGAGGAUCCAUUUACUACGAGAUUCAUUUUCGGUUCGGUUCGAGUAGUUUCAGGUUCGGUUCGGAUAGUAAAACUAGGAACCAAAAAAUAUGUGGAAAAUGUUGGUUCUCAUUUGGUUCCAGUUUCAGUUUGGUUAUUUCGGGUAGUUCGGGUAAUUCAGGUUGAAUUUCAAGUAUUUUUCAAAUAAUAAUGAUGAUUCAGAUAAAUAUUUUUGGAUAUUUCAGAUUACUUUGGAUAUUUUAGAUACAAAUAUUCGGAUAAUCGCAAUACUUUCAAGUAGUUUAGAUACUUUGUAAUAAUCUAGUUUUCUUCAAAUGCUUUCGGAUACUUUUAACAGAUUUUUAAAUUAUAAAUAUAUAAUUAUUUAUGUUAUGUGUAUAUUAUUAAUAUUUUUAUAUAUUACGGUACCCAUUCAAUUGGUUCUGGUUCGGUUCGGUUAUUUGGGAUAUAGAAAUAUAGGAACCAUUUGAACAUUUGGGUUUACGGUACGGUUUCGGGUAUUUCGGUUCGGUUUCGAUUUUUUUGCCCAGAUCUAGUUUUGACCUAUCCCACACCAUCAUGCACCAGCUCUAAAAUGAGUCACUUUGACUUUGUUUCUUUCACAUCUUUCUUGCGCCAACGGUUAAAACAAAUAAAUUUGGUUCACGAUCUAUUCUUCAUGAUGUAUUUUUUCUUUUAUCGGCAACAUAACUGUUUUCCUAUCUAUACUAUUAGUUUUCCUAUCUAUAUUAUUAAUAGAUAAUGUACCUUUUUUGUAGUACCUUUUUUGUUUUGAAAGUAUUUGCAGAUCAAUGUCACUGCUUUAUUUAAAACCUAUGCUUUUUUUUUAUUUAAGAUAUUAAAACAUGAAUUUUUUUUUUUUGAAAUUCCCUUGGUUUUCUUCUAAUAUUACAACAGUACCACUGCUUUAAUUAAAUUAUUAAUGUUGUUAAUUCAAACUAAAAACAGAAUAUUUUCCCUAAUAUAUUCCAUGACGUUACAUUUUUGGCAUUUUAAAAAUAGAAAGAAAAUAAAAUGUGGAUCUCCGUUGGAAAGAAAAUAGGAAGAAAAUAAUGGCUUUUUGGCAUUUUUCUUUUGUUAAAUAUUUAGCAGAAGAAGUCGUCAAAUCUCAAGCCUUUUUUUCUGAGAUCUAUGUUCUCUCUUCUUCUUCAUUUUUAGAUUCGGUUGGUUAGUUAAUAUAGCGAAAACCUCAAAAACUAUUAUUGAAUAGGAAGACUAUUGAAACAAUUAUUAUAUAGCAAAGACUAAACUAAACUUUUAUUAUCAAUUUGAACAAAAAAAAACUGUUAUUAUCUAUAACAACUGAUCUCAUGGGUCUAGGUGUUAUUAUAAAGCAAGGAUUAAACUUUUAGAGUCGGUUGUUUGCGGAAAAAAGAAAAGUCUCCAACUUUUGAAACUGUUACCGAAUAGCAGGACUAUAUUUCAUAUUCAGUUGUUUUACAUCUUGCUGAUGUUCAGAGGGUUUGAGUGUGUUAUUUGAGUUAUUCUUUAUUGUAUUUUAAAAUGCAGAUACCGCUUGCUCUACUCAACUUAUAUCUGUAGAGAUGGUUUGAGAUCUUAUUUAUUUACUCAUGCCAAACAUUUGCGAUUUUAUUUAUUUUAGAAAUUUGACACCUCAAAUCUACUCUAUUAAAAUAGAGUCUUAUUUGAAUUUACUGUGGCAUAUAUUAAAAUUAUACCUAUUAAAUAUGUUGUGAUUAAAUAUAGACACCUUCUAUUAUACCAUCUUUAAUAACUUUUAUAUUUAUCUUUGUUUACAUUUACACUACAUUAGAUUAACCCUAUAUCUAUACUAUUAAAAGGGAAGGAGUCCUAAAAAAUCUACCUAUAAAAGUUGUUUGGAUCCUUUCAUUAAAUUACUAAUAUUUUGAUCUUACUUUAAAGUUAUACUACCAAUAUGUUACCAUAUAUUUUUCUAACAAUAAUUUAAUCGCUACUUAUUAUUUUUAGGCCCACAUUUUUAUACACGUUGAUAUCGGAUCCUAACUACAUCUAUACUUUAUUUGGUAGACCUUAUGAUACACGAAAAUAUGGAAAUGCUCCUGCAAUGUCACAUGUUUGCCUAACGUGUUUUUAAUGCUUCUCUUUGACUAUGGACAAUGAGAAUGCAGCCAUAUAUGAUGUCAAUACUCUUAUUCAAAUUUGACUUAUUCACAUAAAAACCAUUAGUGUUACAGAGCACAUCGACUAUUAUUACUUUCGAUACAUACCACAAGGUCCACAACUAACUCAAGAUUUCAUUAUUAUUUUUAUCUCACCAUCUUCUUAAGUUUUAAAUAAAAACUAAACCCAAUACCAAAAAAACCUAAAGCCUAUAUAGAUUAUAUGUAAUCUCAAAACUAUAAAUUUUUUAAACUUAAUAAAUCUAUAUAUUGUCAGAUUUAUGAAAUAUUAUAGGAUAUAUUUAAUAGUUCUCACAAAUUAUUAACUUCUUCCAAAUGAAUUUUAAUUUAAAAUAAAAAUACAUAAAUAAAUGCAAAACAUAUAUUUUCGUGACUAUUAGCUUUUUUUACAAUUAAUCUACCAAAUUGAUUUUGUAUCAUGCUGAUAUGGUUCACGCAAAAUAUUUUAAAAUUUAGACGAGAUUUACACAAUUAUUCUUCUAUCUAGCAACUUACCAAAUAUACCUAUUUACUGUUAAUAAAUAUAUCCUACCAACAUUAAGAAUAUAAAUAGUCAAAUUUAUAUCAAUCAUAAAUACUAUAUAUUAGAAUAGAUUUUGAAGAGAUUUUAGCUACGAGAAAUAUUCUGAAUUGUAUCACCCUAUUGGUACUCAUUCAUUCAUUUCUUAUGUAAUUAAGUUUACUAAAAUUAUAUAUAUAUAUAUAUAUAUAUAUAUUCCCUUAAAAAUUAUAUACAUGGUUGAACUGUUGCCCAUAUCGCUGAUUAUAUAAGUUUCUUUUUUUGACAACACAAAUUUAUAAUGUUAUACAAUAUCUUAUAAUCUAAAAUAUGAAUAUAAUUUAUUACAAUUUUGUAAGAAUUAAUGUAAGUUCUAUAUUCUGGUUUUCAAAGUGUGUAAACGGUUGUACAUGAUAUAUAUCAUUUGUGAUCUAUUUUAAAAUAAUUAUACAUACAUCAUAACACAUAUCAUAUAUUUAUAAUAUACUUUACUUUUAAAAUAUAAAAUUUCAAAAUAUUAAAGGUGAAAUAAUCAAUUUUUAUUUAUAGUUUAAAAAUAUUGCAAGUCAGAAUAUUUAUAAAUAAAAUUAAUUUAUUUUGUUUGAUAAAAAUAAAUUGUUAGCUAGCUAAAAUAGGUUAAACAAAAGAGACUCAUAAUACGAGUCAAAAUUAUCCAAAAUUAUCCAAAAUCUCUAAAAUUAUAGUUCAAUUAAAAUAGCAAAAUAAAUUAAAUACACAAAUUUAAAAAUAAAUCAUAAGAAAUGUUAAAACAUAUAAAUUAUUUAUAAAAUUAUACUUUUUAUAAGAUAUAUGGCCUCAUUUGAAAAUCUGGAGAGAAGUUCCGUUUAUCGACAAAACACAUUGAGAUUGGUAUAAACUUUCACUAGGUUUGGAAUACCUAAGUUAAACAAGAUUUUUCUUUUUUGAAAAAAUAUUAAUCUCGCGCUUCAAAGCUUGAUUCAAAAGUUUGAAUUAACUUUUGAAAAAAUAUCAUCCAAUUUAAAUGGGAUUUUAUCGGGUCAACCAAUAUUGGAUAGCGGAUUAAAGAUAGAUUUUUACGUUUUCACCGAGUUUUAUCAGAUUUUUAUAUAUAAGGUUUUAACAAAAUUCAUACCGGAUUAUAUAUGAAUCACCUGAUUUACUUCUGAGACUGUAGGUUUGGAUCACGUAUGAAAACACUGCUACAAAUAUUAAAAAUUCUACAAAUAUAUACUAUUAGAUUAGUUCAAAAUUUGCCAAGUAAUUUUUUUGUAUCAUCAACUCAACAAGUGUAACUCUUACAAAACACACACAAAAUGCAAUGAUGAUGUUGUAACAUAAGAAUAUACAUAUAUAUUCUAAAAUAAACUAUUUGAUAAAUUAUAUAAUUUUGUAACUUAAUAAUAUACUUCAAAACAUCAAAACCAAAAUAAUAAUUCAUAUCAAACAUUAUUAUUACUUGGAAAAAAAAUCCGCGCUUCAAGCGCGGAUCAAAAUCUAGUACUCUACUAAAAUAGAGUCCUAUUUGAAUUUACUGUGGUAUAUUUUAAAAUUAGACCUAUUAAAUAUGUUGUGACUAAAUAUAGACACCUUCUAUUAUGUAUUUAUCUUUAUCUACAUUUACAUUACAUUAAAUUAACCCUAUUUAAUUAAAACAAGUAUCUUCCACAUAAAUAAAAAAUUACUGAUUAGAAUUGGUUGAAUGAUUGAUUAUACCUAGGUGUAGUUUCUCAUUUUCUGGGUUUUGGAUUAUUAAAAUCUGUAUUCUUUCUAUUUUAUUCAGAAAAAAAAAAUUGAUUCCUGGCGUUUGAUUAUUAGUUGUUGAUAUUCAAAUGCAUGAUCAGUGUUCAUAGAUUCAUUGGUAAUUAAAUCUGGAAAACAAAAGUUGUUGAUUUGGUUUAAGAUUCCAAGAACAGGUCGUCGAAUAUCUCAGUCAUCUCCAUGUUUGUCUUCGCUUUCCUUCAGAAACUCACUUAGGUCGGACUUUGUAAAUUGCAAUCAUGUGGCCGCUUUGCCUUCUGGAGUUUCCAGUGGAUUCGAUAGUUUCUUUUCAGCGUCAUGAUUCAAAUCUCCACUGAUGUUUCAUCUUAUUGGCUUAUUUAAGUGCUUUCUUAAUAAUCCACAUGACCAGUAAGCUUCAUGCAUGAUCAACUCACGUCGACUCUGCUUUUUUUUUUUCUGAUUGGUGAUCCUUGAUUCUGGCUUUCUUAAUAAGAUCAUUUUUCCGAUAAUUCCUUUUUCCGUCACAAACGAAAUGGGAACACACUGAUAAUAUAACCUCCACCCAUGUUCUUUCUUUAUAUAAUUGGUGUGAUCUAAUAUUUUAACAAGCUUCAAUCUUGAUUAAUUUGUGUUUUUGGUUUUUCACAAGGAAGGUAUGGUGAUGGAGAAUGAGUAAUACGACACCUUAACCGUCAAAACUGAUACUUUCGAAGCUAACACUAAAAAGACUAGUUAACAGUUUUUUUCUUUUUUUUUGUAUCAUCAAUUUCUUGUGGGAAUAUGAGUAAAGAAGUUUUAAACUUUUUUCUGGUUUGAUUUUGUCUCAGGCAAGGACAGUUCAUCGGAGAUUCUCAAGCUACUACAAACUUUCAGGUGAUGAUUAGAUGAUUUUGUUCACAUUGCAACUGUUUCUUUGGUUUGGAUUGUUGUUUACUAGAACCCUGAUGAUUUAAAAGUUCUGUUUUUUUGGUUCAAGGUGAUGGGAUCAGUCCUUGCGAUUAAACAUAUUACUCACAUUUUUCUUGAGAUUGAAAAAAGGUCCAAAACUAAACAUAGCAAUCAAUUACGGUGCGUACUAACCGAGGUGAUACUAAAAUUUUCAUAAUGCUGUUCUCAGUGAGACUAGCAAGAAAGAUCCCAAGAGGUUUAUCCAUGAAGACCUGGAUUAGUAGUACUGCUAAGUUAACUCUCCAUGUUCUUGGAGCUGAUCUUACCGCCUACCGGUAGAUGCAACGGUAUGAACCUAUACACACAAAAUGGAGUUUUUGUAAUUGAUUUUCAAACAAAAGUUGAUGUUUGUCUUUGUCUCUUCGUUUUAUUGAGUGUUUGCUUGGAAUGAUACCUUUGCAGGUUAUCAGAUGGGCUUCUGUAGGUGAACGUAUAACAAAAUACAUUUUCUUUUUCAGAAAAAAAGAUUCUCUGGAGCUCUUUGUUUUUGAAAAAAAAUCCUAACACGAAGAGAAUUGUACACCAACAUGUUCUGUUAUGAAGUCAUGACAGACAUGAAAGCUGGAUCAUUGGUUUUAGGUUGUUCUUUGAUGUGUUGGUCUUUAAGGAUACCACUAUCAUGGGUCCGGUUAUUUAAGAAAAAUAAUUUGAGAAAUUGUAAGUUUGCUUGAUAUGAAAAAAGUAAAAUGUUCUUUUCACUUUAUCAUUAGUCUUAAGUUGUUUUGUAUCCAAGCGACAUUUCAUUAGACAUAUAACGCAGUAGAUCUCAAAUAUAUUCAAUACGAAAAACAUGAAAUAUAAUUUUAUUUUUCAAAAACACUAACAAAUUUUUAAAAACUAUUAAAUAAAAUUAGAUAGAAAUAUUUUUAUCUAUGUUAUAUUAUUGCCAAAAAAAUAAAAUGAAGGUAACUGUAAUGUAAAAUAUAUAUUAUUAAAACAGAAACAUUGUGUUGGACCUAACAUUUAUUUUAUAAGUUUUGAAAUUAAAUACAUCUUCCUACUUUAUAGUUAAUGCUACAUUAAAUCACUAAUAUUCUUUUCCUUAUACUACUAUCAAUGUUUCCAAACAAUAUAGUCAUUUUUUUAUACUACUAUCCAUUUUCCCAAACAAUACUAUAAUUAAUCUUAUGUCCAAACAAUAUAAAAUAUUGGAACUUAUCUUUUUAAUAACCAAAUAUUUAAAUAAAUUAAAUAAUUAAAAAAUAUUCAAAUUUUUUAUAAAAAACGAAAAUAAAUAAAACUUACUUUUACAGGUUUAAAUACUACAAAAAAUUUCAAUCAAUGAUAAAUCAAUUAAAUUAACAUAUUAUUUUAUUUAUAUUUACUAAAUAAUGGUUCUAUCAUUUAUUUAAGUAAGAUAACAAUUCAAUAAUAGCCAUUACAUAAAAAAAAAAUAUAUAAACAUUAUACAGUGUACAAUAACUAUAAUAAAAAAAAUAAUUGUGAAAAAAUGUUCAAAAUAUAUGUUAUCUAAAGAAAAAUGCUUAAUACUAAUUGUUAACAAAAAAUUUAAAGCGAUUAUAAUAUAAAUGAUUAACAAGAAAAAUUACAAAAAACAAUUAUAAUAAAAUUAAUUAUGUUAUAUAAAAUGGAGUAAUAUGAUCAAGACAUUUAUAGUUGUUAAUUAUAUCUAUUAUUUUCUCUAUCAAAAUUUUGUAGAAAUGUCAUAAUUUAAUAAAAUUGUAAAAUAAUAAACUUUAAAAUUGCGAUUAAAAGGUGACAAAUUAUGAAACUAUAGCAAUUUAAAUCAAAUUGGAUAUGUUAACAUAUCGGACAUCCAUCGGUUCAAUUGGUUAGUCUCGGAUAUAGUGAUUUUUAUAAAUAUGGAUAUUUUUAAAACCUAAAUUGAAUUAUCGAAUCACCGGAUUAACCGAUUUGGCCUAAAUUGAAUUAUCGAAUCAUCUAUAUUAUUAAAACAGAAACAUUGUGUUGGACCUAACAUUUAUUUUAUAAGUUUUUAAAUUAAAUACAUCUUCCUACUUUAUAGUUAAUGCUACAUUAAAUCACUAAUAUUCUUUUCCUUAUACUACCAUCAAUGUUUCCAAACAAUAUAGUCAUUUUUUUUAUACUACUAUCCAUUUUCCCAAACAAUACUAUAAUUAAUCUUAUGUCCAAACAAUAUAAAAUAUUGGAACUUAUCUUUUUAAUAACCAAAUAUUUAAAUAAAUUAAAUAAUUAAAAAAUAUUCAAAUUUUUUAUAAAAAGAGAAAAUAAAUAAAACUUACUUUUACAGGUUUAAAUACUACAAAAACAUUUCAAUCAAUGAUAAAUCAAUUAAAUUAACAUAUUAUUUUAUUUAUAUUUACUACAUAAUGGUUCUAUCAUUUAUUUAAGUAACAUAACAAUUCAAUAAUAGCCAUUACAUAAAAAAUAAAUAUAUAAACAUUAUACAGUGUACAAUAACUAUAAUAACAAAAAUAAUUGUGAAAAAAUGUUCAAAAUAUAUGUUAUCUAAAGAAAAAUGCUUAAUACUAAUUGUUAACAAAAAAUUUAAAGCGAUUAUAAUAUAAAUGAUUAACAAGAAAAAUUACAAAAAACAAUUAUAAUAAAAUUAAUUAAGUUAUAUAAAAUGGAGUAAUAUGAUCAAAACAUUUAUAGUUGUUAAUUAUAUCUAUUAUUUUCUCUAUCAAAAUUUUGUAGAAAUGUCAUAAUUUAAUAAAAUUGUAAAACAAUAAAUUUAAAAUUUGGAUUAAAAGGUGACAAAUUAUGAAACUAUAGCAAUUUAAAUCAAAUUGGAUAUGUUAACAUAUCGGGCAUCCAUCGGUUCAAUUGGUUAGUCUCGGAUAUAGUGAUUUUUAUAAAUAUGGAUAUUUUUAAAACCUAAAUUGAAUUAUCGAAUCACCGGAUUAACCGAUUUGACCGCGGAUUCGGAUCAAAUUUAAAAGCAUUGAUUUAAAUGCAAAGAAAAUUCAAAUAAACAAAAUUCUUACAAAUUAAAAAAAUAUUUAUUAAUUAUUAGUAAAAAAUUUCAUCAUAAAAUAAUCCGCACUUGCAAAGCGCGGGUCAUGAUCUAGUAAAAAUUUAAAUAGAAUGGCCACACAAACAAAUCAACAAUACUAUUAUUUACACAAUAUAACAAACAUAAUUUACCUUUUCAUAAGAAAAAAGAUCUAUAAUUAUAAAUGAAAGGCUACCCUACAUUUUCUUUCGAUUAUACCUGGCAUAUAUUCAAGAAUAGGUCAAGAAUAGGUAUCUUACAUGAUUUAAUUUUACAUUAUGUUUGUAUCAAAUGAUUAUGAGACAUAUUAGUCCCUUAAACAUAUUAAAAUAUAAAUAAUUAGUUUCAACAACCACCAAUAUAUAGUAACUUAUUUACCAAAAAAUAUAGCUACUUAAUCCUUAUUUAGAAUAAAAAUAUUUAAUGUUUCAAAAUGAUAUGGGUUUAUUUUGAUCACAGCUGUAGAAUAUACAUAUUACCUUUAAAAGAUAUAUGUACGUAAUUAAUAUAUAUAUAUAUAUUCUGACUUGUUAUAUAAUCUUGAAGUAUACAAAUUUCUAAACAUAUUUAAAAUAUAAAAAUAUUCAAUAAAACAAAAUAAAAAAAAACAAAAAACAAAACUGAAAUGUAGCUACCUAAAUCAUAAUCGACUCGAAAAUUACAUAUCCCUAUUCAGACCAAGACACUCAAAUUCAACUUGAAAUUUUAUCAGGUUCUUAACACUAUUAUUUGAACCAAACCAAAAACUAAAAUAAGCAACCCAAACCAAAGCCAAAUUCAUAAAUAACAGAACGGUUGUUUUUAAAAAUGAAAUCCAAACAUUGCAACUAAACUGGAAUCAAACCGAAAACCAAAAAUGCAAUUUGGCAGUAAAGUUUGUAAGAUGUCAUUAAAUCAUAAAAUUGUAAUCUAAAAACAUAAAUUAUAAAUAAUCCCUCGCAACCGCGCGGGUCAGAAUCUAGUUAUGCUUAAAGAGAGAGAGACUUAGCCAUAUAUAGGUAUUUUCAGUGUUACUAUUUCAAUAUUUAGAGUUUAAGUUCAGGGUUAUUUUAUUUGAAAAACAUAAAAAUAUGAGUUUAAUAUUGUGAAUAUUUUUAGGUAUUCUAAGGAUAAUAACAAAAAAUGAUCAUGUUUUAGAGAUAGAGAUUAAACAAGGAUAAGAAACUAAUGAGACAUUAGUUGUGGACAUAUUAUCUGAAACCGGAAAAAUAAACUGAAGCUAAACAAAAACUUGACAGAAAUUUACAAAAACUCGAACGAUUCUUAUUUUUCUAAAUUCAAAACAUUAAAAUCGAACCAAAAAUCGAACGGCCACCA